GACGAACGCUGGCGGCGUGCUUAACACAUGCAAGUCGAACGCUGAAGCCCAGCUUGCUGGGUGGAUGAGUGGCGAACGGGUGAGUAACACGUGAGUAACCUGCCCCCUUCUUUGGGAUAACGCCCGGAAACGGGUGCUAAUACUGGAUAUUCACUGAUCUUCGCAUGGGGGUUGGUGGAAAGGUUUUUUCUGGUGGGGGAUGGGCUCGCGGCCUAUCAGCUUGUUGGUGGGGUGAUGGCCUACCAAGGCUUUGACGGGUAGCCGGCCUGAGAGGGUGACCGGUCACAUUGGGACUGAGAUACGGCCCAGACUCCUACGGGAGGCAGCAGUGGGGAAUAUUGCACAAUGGGCGAAAGCCUGAUGCAGCGACGCCGCGUGAGGGAUGACGGCCUUCGGGUUGUAAACCUCUUUCGCUCAUGGUCAAGCCGCAGCUUUGGGUUGUGGUGAGGGUAGUGGAUAAAGAAGCGCCGGCUAACUACGUGCCAGCAGCCGCGGUAAUACGUAGGGCGCGAGCGUUGUCCGGAAUUAUUGGGCGUAAAGGGCUUGUAGGCGGUUGGUCGCGUCUGCCGUGAAAUCCUCUGGCUUAACUGGGGGCGUGCGGUGGGUACGGGCUGACUUGAGUGCGGUAGGGGAGACUGGAACUCCUGGUGUAGCGGUGGAAUGCGCAGAUAUCAGGAAGAACACCGGUGGCGAAGGCGGGUCUCUGGGCCGUUACUGACGCUGAGGAGCGAAAGCGUGGGGAGCAAACAGG
rnacentral:rRNA from 1 species